GACGAACGCUGGCGGCGUGCUUAACACAUGCAAGUCGAACGGAAAGGCCCUGCUUGCCGGGUACUCGAGUGGCGAACGGGUGAGUAACACGUGGGUGAUCUGCCCUGCACUUCGGGAUAAGCCUGGGAAACUGGGUCUAAUACCGGAUAGGAGCCAUUUUUAGUGUGAUGGUUGGAAAGUUUUUUCGGUGUAGGAUGAGCUCGCGGCCUAUCAGCUUGUUGGUGGGGUAAUGGCCUACCAAGGCGGCGACGGGUAGCCGGCCUGAGAGGGUGGACGGCCACAUUGGGACUGAGAUACGGCCCAGACUCCUACGGGAGGCAGCAGUGGGGAAUAUUGCACAAUGGGCGCAAGCCUGAUGCAGCGACGCCGCGUGGGGGAGGACGGCCUUCGGGUUGUAAACUCCUUUCGCUAGGGGCGAAGCUUUUUGUGACGGUACCUAGAGAAGAAGCACCGGCUAACUACGUG
rnacentral:rRNA from 1 species